rnacentral:tRNA from 1 species
AGAGGCACGAAAUUCAAGAAAUAACUUCUAAUUAUUUUCUUAAGCGGCGCACUCCCGUUUGUCCU